CUUCCAGUUUGAGGAAACAGGACCAGCUGAGGAACUGGUGAGGAGUGUGGCCUCAUGUGAUUUCCACCAACUAUGUGGGCAUUCCAAGUGGUGUUGUCAUUGUGCUGGUUGUCCUUAGAUAGGAUAUGUUGACAAUCUCCACCCUGCUGGGCUAAAGUCCCAAAGAGAAAUAAUGGAACUAGGUCUUCCAGCUGUGGAUCAAAGAUUUCAUUGUUAUGCUCCUUUUUAUAAAUGGAAUGGCCUUCAAUGUCACAACACUUGAGAACAACUCCAGAGCCUCCUCCAAGAUGCUGGCAGUUCUGUUCACAGCGGCCUUGCUGGUCCUGAGCUCAGCUCAGAGCCCCAAUGAAGAUACUGAAAGCCAGAGCCCAGUCUUAGUGGACUCUGCUGCUCCUGAGUCUGAAAAUGAUCCACAGAGUGACUCCCCACCAGGAGAGGAACAAGUGUCCUCUGAUGAUGCUGUUGAGAAUGAAGUAAAUAAUCCACAGCAGGAACAAUCUGCAGAAGGGCCUCAGGAUCAAUCUUCUACUCUUCCUGAAGACUCAAAAAGACCAGUCCAACCAGAAGGCCAGCAGCAUGACCUUCCUCCUCCUGAGUUUCAACAUAGACCUCCUCCUCGUGGUCGUUUUUCAGGCAACAAAAAGAAUCCUCCCCAUAAUGUCCGUGGAGAACAAAGACCACCUUUAGGUAGAGGACAGAAUGUGAAAAAUCUACCUCAUCGUUGGUCCAGACUGUUAGCUUAGGGAGUGCCUGAGAAGAAUAUGUACUUCAGAAAAAUAGGCCAAGAAGUCAUUGUUGACUGACUACCUGACCCCAAUAAAAUUUUCAGCAUUCGA